rnacentral:rRNA from 1 species
UACGUAGGGGGCAAGCGUUGUCCGGAUUUAUUGGGCGUAAAGAGCGUGUAGGCGGCCAGGUAGGUCUGCUGUGAAAGUCCAGGGCUUAACCCUGGAAAGCGGGUGGAUACUGCCGGGCUUGAAUCCGGAAGAGGCGAGUGGAAUUCCUGGUGUAGCGGUGGAAUGCGCAGAUAUCAGGAGGAACACCGGUGGCGAAGGCGCCACUCUGGGCCGGUACUGACGCUGAGGAGCGAAAGCGUGGGUAGCAAACAGG